AAGCGCUUUGUAAGCGGAGAUGUAAUUAUUGGUGAGAAAUAUGUAUAAGGGUAUAUAUUUAACAUAGCUAAAAGAGCGAUCGAAGAUAAGAAGAAGAAACCAAGACUAAUCGAGACUGAUUUUCAUAAAAUGUGAUGUAAAAAAAUAACAAUGGCCUCUUAAGCGGAAAAUAGAUAUAUCAAUGGUAGACGUAUCAGAAAACAUUGCCUACACGUGUUAGAGUUAAUUUUACUUUUACAUAAGCCAAGAAUAGUUUUUGUACUACUUCAUAAAAUAGAUAAUGGAGAGAAAUAAAUUGCUAAAUAUUGGUUAACGUCGCAGAUAUUCAGUAAAAACUUCAAAUACAGAGAGAAAUAUCAACGCAGUUUAGAUGCUCGUCAAAAUGAAGUUCGAUAUGAUUAAUGGAUUAUAACACGUGUUCGAAUCGACUCAUAUAUUAUAUAACGUAAUAUAAUCAAUGCACUUGAUUGAAGACGUUUCUGGUUUUAAAAGCGUAGAAUGCGCAUCAAUUUUCUUCAACUGGUACUAGUUAGAGCGGGGAAAACAUGGUGUUUAUAAUUCAGCUUUACAAGCGAUGUCAGAUUAGCGAAAGCAAUAUCGAAUGCCGCUGAAAAUGAUCAUCAAAUGCCCGAAUAAAUGUUCUACAUAAAAUUAUGUGAUUAUGUUAGCUAUUUGGCUAUGUACUGUGUGAUCAAGAAUAAACUGUUUAAAAGAAUUAUAUUUUUGAAAUUGUAUUAAAUGAUUUAUGGGUCAGUCGGGAUGGU